rnacentral:rRNA from 1 species
UACGAAGGGGGCUAGCGUUGUUCGGAAUUACUGGGCGUAAAGCGCACGUAGGCGGGUUGUUAAGUCAGGGGUGAAAUCCUGGAGCUCAACUCCAGAACUGCCUUUGAUACUGGCAACCUAGAGACUGGAAGAGGUUAGUGGAAUUCCCAGUGUAGAGGUGAAAUUCGUAGAUAUUGGGAAGAACACCAGUGGCGAAGGCGGCCAACUGGACGAAUACUGACGCUGAGACUCGAAAGCGUGGGGAGCAAACAGG